AAAUUGAAGAGUUUGAUCAUGGCUCAGAUUGAACGCUGGCGGCAGGCCUAACACAUGCAAGUCGAACGGUAACAGGAAGCAGCUUGCUGCUUUGCUGACGAGUGGCGGACGGGUGAGUAAUGUCUGGGAAACUGCCUGAUGGAGGGGGAUAACUACUGGAAACGGUGGCUAAUACCGCAUAACGUCGCAAGACCAAAGAGGGGGACCUUCGGGCCUCUUGCCAUCAGAUGUGCCCAGAUGGGAUUAGCUAGUUGGUGAGGUAACGGCUCACCAAGGCGACGAUCCCUAGCUGGUCUGAGAGGAUGACCAGCCACACUGGAACUGAGACACGGUCCAGACUCCUACGGGAGGCAGCAGUGGGGAAUAUUGCACAAUGGGCGCAAGCCUGAUGCAGCCAUGCCGCGUGUAUGAAGAAGGCCUUCGGGUUGUAAAGUACUUUCAGCGGGGAGGAAGGUGUUGUGGUUAAUAACCACAGCAAUUGACGUUACCCGCAGAAGAAGCACCGGCUAACUCCGUGCCAGCAGCCGCGGUAAUACGGAGGGUGCAAGCGUUAAUCGGAAUUACUGGGCGUAAAGCGCACGCAGGCGGUCUGUCAAGUCGGAUGUGAAAUCCCCGGGCUCAACCUGGGAACUGCAUUCGAAACUGGCAGGCUUGAGUCUUGUAGAGGGGGGUAGAAUUCCAGGUGUAGCGGUGAAAUGCGUAGAGAUCUGGAGGAAUACCGGUGGCGAAGGCGGCCCCCUGGACAAAGACUGACGCUCAGGUGCGAAAGCGUGGGGAGCAAACAGGAUUAGAUACCCUGGUAGUCCACGCCGUAAACGAUGUCUACUUGGAGGUUGUGCCCUUGAGGCGUGGCUUCCGGAGCUAACGCGUUAAGUAGACCGCCUGGGGAGUACGGCCGCAAGGUUAAAACUCAAAUGAAUUGACGGGGGCCCGCACAAGCGGUGGAGCAUGUGGUUUAAUUCGAUGCAACGCGAAGAACCUUACCUGGUCUUGACAUCCACAGAACUUUCCAGAGAUGGAUUGGUGCCUUCGGGAACUGUGAGACAGGUGCUGCAUGGCUGUCGUCAGCUCGUGUUGUGAAAUGUUGGGUUAAGUCCCGCAACGAGCGCAACCCUUAUCCUUUGUUGCCAGCGGUUAGGCCGGGAACUCAAAGGAGACUGCCAGUGAUAAACUGGAGGAAGGUGGGGAUGACGUCAAGUCAUCAUGGCCCUUACGACCAGGGCUACACACGUGCUACAAUGGCGCAUACAAAGAGAAGCGACCUCGCGAGAGCAAGCGGACCUCAUAAAGUGCGUCGUAGUCCGGAUUGGAGUCUGCAACUCGACUCCAUGAAGUCGGAAUCGCUAGUAAUCGUGGAUCAGAAUGCCACGGUGAAUACGUUCCCGGGCCUUGUACACACCGCCCGUCACACCAUGGGAGUGGGUUGCAAAAGAAGUAGGUAGCUUAACCUUCGGGAGGGCGCUUACCACUUUGUGAUUCAUGACUGGGGUGAAGUCGUAACAAGGUAACCGUAGGGGAACCUGCGGUUGGAUCACCUCCUUACCUUAAAGAA
rnacentral:rRNA from 1 species